CCUACGGGAGGCAGCAGUGAGGAAUAUUGGUCAAUGGGCUUACGCCUGAACCAGCCAAGUCGCGUGAGGGAAGACGGCACUAUGGGUUGUAAACCUCUUUUGUCAGGGAGCAACGCCGGCUACGUGUAGCCGGACUGAGAGAACCUGAAGAAAAAGCAUCGGCAAACUCCGUGCCAGCAGCCGCGGUAAUACGGAGGAUGCGAGGGUUUGCCGGAUUUAUUGGGUUUAAAGGGGGCGUAGGCGGAAUGCCAAGUCAGCGGUAAAAGCGCGGGGCUCAACCUCGGUCCGCCGUUGAAACUGGCGUUCUUGAGUGGGCGAGAAGUAUGCGGAAUGCGUGGUGUAGCGGUGAAAUGCAUAGAUAUCACGCAGAACUCCGAUUGCGAAGGCAGCAUACCGGCGCCCAACUGACGCUGAAGCACGAAAGCGUGGGUAUCGAACAGGAUUAGAUACCCGUGUAGUC
rnacentral:rRNA from 1 species